UUAUAAUAAAAAAAAUGCUGCGAGUGAAUGGAUUGGCCUAAUACAUGAGGCGCUAAAAUGCGAAAAAAACUAAUGGCAUCCGCGACAUAUUAGUUUGUACCUCAAAGGCUGAAAAGCCAAAACCUACUUUAAAAAACAAAUAAUGUUUUGUUUUAAUAAGUAAAUUAGAAACUCAAGGAAUUGAAACAUCUUAUUACUUGAAGGAAAAGAAAUCAAUCGAGAUUGCGUGUGUAGCAGCGAGUGAAAGCGCAAAAGCCUAGACAAAUAACAACAAAGUGGAAACGCAUGGAAACGCGUACUUAAAAAGGUGAUAGUCCUGUAAACUUUUUAUAUUUGUCCGCAACCUGUGAAGUAGCCUUCGCAGAUGUUUUUAAUUCGGCGAAUUUUGUCGAAUAAAGGGGAACCUCUCCCAAGGCUAAAUAUUGUAUUAGGACCGAUAGCAAACAAGUACCGUGAGGGAAAUCUGAAAAGCGAUAGUGACUUAACUAUGUUGAAACAGAACCUGCAACUCGUAGCUAACUAAAACACUUAGUUAAGCAAAGUUUAAUAAAGUGGUGCCUUUUGAAUCAUGCGCUGAUGACUUUGUGUUAGAUUGUAGUUUAACUUGUUAAAGGUAAGCAUCUUAAUUGAAAAAUUUAUACAACUAGCACAAGACGCGAAGCGAAGAGAGCUUUUUUAAGCCAAGAUGAAGAGCCUCGAAAGGGGCUUGGAAGUCUGAAGCAGUUCACGUUGCAACGUGUUUGUAUGAGCUUAGAAAAGAAGCGAAAUACUAAUCGCUCUUCGCAAUAUCUCGUUUCUCGCGAAACCUGUUUAGGCAGGGCGCUAUAAUUAAAAAUAAGCUAGAGAUGUAAAGCACUGUAAGACUGAGGGGAAAGAAAUUUUUACUGACGUUUUGCAAACUCUGAAUUCUAAGCUUAUACAAAUAGCAGUCAGUCGGUACGGGACAAGCUGUAUACGACGAAAGGGAAACAGCCCAGACUAUAGAAUAAGGCCUGGAAGCGUAAACUAAGUGAGAAAGGAAGUUAUUGUACAAAGAAGCGUUGGACGUUUGAUUAGCAGCAUCUAUCGUUUAAAGAAAGCGUAAUAGCUCACUACGUGAGUACAAUAGCGCCGAUAAUUUAACCGGACUAAGUUUACCGCCCAUUUCAUAGCUAACGAAACGUUAGGGUAGCGAGACGAACCAUACAUCGGAAAAACUUUGUCGGUAAGACUAAGUAAGAUAUUGGUUGUGAUUAUAUCAGCUAUAGUAGCUAAAAAUUGAGCAAUAAAAACUCAAGGAUCGAAAGUCCAAGGUUUCUUAGACAACGGUAGUAGAUCUAAGGUGAAUCGGCCCCUAAGUUGUAUAAAGACAGCGAUGGGUAAAGUUGCACAAUAUGGCCCCAAGUUGUUUAAAGACAGCCACAAGGCAAUAUAUAAGGCGGCGGGUUAGUUUGUGACUUGUGAUAUAAAUUAAGAUAAAAUUGUACCUCAAUACCUUUGCACCUCGUGCGAAGUUCAAUAUUUUAAAUUAUUCACUGCUGGAAAUAACAAACAUACUUUAAUAACCGUACUCAAACUGACACUGGUGGACAAGUAAAUUUUACUAAGAUUAGGCCGUAAACGCCCGUAAGGAACUCGGCAAAUUACACUCGUACUUUAGAAAGAAGAGUGGCUACUAUUGAAAGAUAGUAGCCCCAGAAAAUAGGGGAGGGCGACUGUUUACUCAAAACACAGGGUUCUGCUAACUUGAAAUAGGACGUAUAGAAUCUGACGUUUGUCAAGAGCCGUCAACUUAAGCCGAAUGAUGUUAUUAUCAUUUUGUUAAGGCACGGUUAUCGACCGCCGUAACUAUAACGGUGUUAACAGUAGCGAAAUUCCUAGGCAUUUAAUUGGUGUCCUGCACGAAUAACGUAACGAUCUUCCUACUGUCUCGCGGGCGUUGGCCGUGAAAUAAGAAUGCCGGUCCAAAUACCGGCUAAGAUCUCCAAGACGAUAAGACCCUAUGAAGCUUUACUGUAACUUAACAUUGCUGCAGAUUAUUCGUCUUAUAGUAAUAGGCGGGAGUCUAUUUAGAAUAGACGCCACUGGAAAACCGCUAGACUAAUAAUUAGCAGCUCAUCUAUAUUGAGAAAGUGUUUGGCGGGCAGUUUAUCUGGGGCGGAUGCUGGCUAAAAGGUAACGCCAGCGUGCAAAGGUUAGCUCAGCAAAGUCGGAAACUUUGUGUAGAGCGUAAUAGUAUAAGCUAGCCUGACUAUGAGACUUACAAGUCGAAUUUGGGACGAAAGUCUGCUAUAGUGACCCUCGUGUCUUGAGUGGAAAAGCACGAGAUCAACGGAUCAAAGUUACUCUAGGGAUAACAGCGUUAUUCCGGCCUAUAGUCCAUAUAGAAGCCGGCGUUUGCGACCUUAAAUGUCGACUUUAGACGUCCUCAAGCUGUAGAAGGUUUGAAGGGUGCAGCUGUUCUCUGCGUAAAGUCUAACGUGAGUUGGGUUUAAUCCGUAGAAAUACAGGAUUGAUUCUAUCUGGAGAUUUCAAUAACAUAAUUAAAUGACUGAGGGUAAGACUCCAUUAGUACGAAAGGAUCUUGAGAGUCCAUGCCGCUGGUUUAGCAGUUGUCUUAAAAAAGGCAUUGCUGCAAGGCUACGCUUGAAAAGCUAAUCGCUGAAAUCAUAUAAAGUGAGAAGCUCUCCUAAGAUGUCAUUAUAAAUCGCAGUCUACUACUGCGUAAAUAGGUUAAGGGUGCAAGACUGGAGACAGUUUCAGCCACUUAAUACUAAAAUUCUUUUUUUUCCCUCCG
rnacentral:rRNA from 1 species